CACUCCUACGGGAGGCAGCAGUGGGGAAUAUUGGACAAUGGGCGCAAGCCUGAUCCAGCCAUGCCGCGUGAGUGAUGAAGGCCCUAGGGUUGUAAAGCUCUUUCACCGGUGAAGAUAAUGACGGUAACCGGAGAAGAAGCCCCGGCUAACUUCGUGCCAGCAGCCGCGGUAAUACGAAGGGGGCUAGCGUUGUUCGGAUUUACUGGGCGUAAAGCGCACGUAGGCGGACUAUUAAGUCAGGGGUGAAAUCCCGGGGCUCAACCCCGGAACUGCCUUUGAUACUGGUAGUCUUGAGUUCGAGAGAGGUGAGUGGAAUUCCGAGUGUAGAGGUGAAAUUCGUAGAUAUUCGGAGGAACACCAGUGGCGAAGGCGGCUCACUGGCUCGAUACUGACGCUGAGGUGCGAAAGCGUGGGGAGCAAACAGGAUUAGAAACCCGAGUAGUCC
rnacentral:rRNA from 1 species